ensembl:lncRNA
AGUCCCGGGUGCAUUUUUUGGCAUUUUUUCCUCAAUCUCUUUUUUUCUCCUCGACUCCUCGACUGUAGGUUAUUUUUCAAUCCAACUCCUCAUAUCUUAAUGUUAUUCUGUCUCUCAGCAAUAUGUAAUGGUGUACAUAGUAGAACUAUUUAUUAAGAGUAUUAUACUUUUUUUAAGUUAUAUUUUUAAUGUUAACAUAAGUUAUUUUUACAUCGUAUAUGAUUUUUUAUAUAUCUAUAUAUAUAUAUACAUACUAUAUAAUAUAAUAUAAUAUGACCAUGUUCCUUUUUUGAAAUCCAGUCUAUAUUCCAUACAUUGCCUGGGUUUCCAACUUCCCUGGUUAACCUAACUGUACUGCACAGAAAGCCUAAGGAGAAGGCUCAGAAGGAGAAGGAGUUCAUUGAUGCGGACAGUGGGCUUCUCUGUGGACUCCUUCCAUCUCCAUGGCGAUCGUCUCAUUCACACACACACACACACACACACACACACACACACACUGCUGAGCGCUACUGGCUGACUAGAAAGUACACACACUCUGUCUGCAAACAGCUUGUUGCUUUUUUCCAGACACCCACCCCGUGCAAGAGCCUCAAACCGGGGGGGAGGGGCCGGAUGGCUCCCACAGAACUGUGCUGUGUUCCUCUAGUGUUGAAAUGCAGCCCGCAGGUGCAGCGGGGGGCCCCGCUGAACAGUCAGGUCGAGAACGGAUUCGGUACCUGAUCUGGGGCAGGUCUGCACUAGUUCUGGGCCAGACCUCUUCCCCGGAUCUUGGUGCUGUCCAGGAGAGGUGGAGAGGAGGGGAGGGGUGCUGAGUGGAGCAGGUGGGCGGAGAGGAGAGGAGAGGAGGGCGCUGCUUUUCCUGGCGCGGGGCUCUGUUUGCCCAGGUGUGAAAAUGUGUACACUGGGAGCCGGGCCCCCCUGAGCAGCCCCUUCUGGCAAAGAGCCCUCCCAGGGGCCGCAGGGUGACUCAGACUUUCUCCUGGAGGUGGUAGCUGCCCCUGAGGGAACUCCCCGCUCCCAUCCACACCUCCACCCCCGCCUCGCCCUUCUCCGCCCCUACCCGGCACAAGACACCGAGCAUGGGGCACGCAAGGGUGCAGUUGCAGCUGCUGCUGAGCUAGAACUGAACGCUGAAGUUCUUAGUUCCAUCACAGAGAACAGAACUCACCGGGAGGUUCCAAAGACAUGGAAUGGAAUACCUGGAGAAGUCUAGAAGCCUGCUCCUUUUCAAAGUGCUUUGAGUUGUUGACCGGGAUUUGGGACUCUGUGUGUGUGUUGGCCUAAGAAGCCUAGUGUCUGGGGGAUUGGGGAAGUCACAGUCAUUAGGUUGAGUGGGCGAGCUUCGCAGGAUCGUCAUUUUCAUAGCAUUGCGAUGGGUUGGCAUGCAUUGAUGCAGAGAAUUGCUGAGGUUAAACUGAAUAGGGGAAACUGUCACGUAUAUACAGUAUGUAUCACAAGGAUAUCUAAUGAUUUUAUUUUAAUACAACAUACCCAGUUGUUCCACAGAUAUAUUUUAAGAUGUAAAUACUGAUAUUAUAUGAUGAUUGUACUUGCAAAUCAUAACUUUUUUGGUUUAAGAUAGCUGUUGCAUUGCUAAUGGAGACAUUAUAAAUGAUGUUGGCAAAUAAUUUGUGCAUUAUGUCCCUAUAGCGCGUGCAUAAAGCCUUGUCAACACACUUGUCAUAAACGGUCAUUAAUGUUGGUAAAUGUUUAUGCAAGCACUGUCGAUGGGCUGAAAAUACCAUAUUGUUUAUUUGUGCCUAUGUCAAGAUGGAUGAUCAUAAUAUACCUUUUUUGUGAGCAGAAAUACAUGUUGUGGAAGUAAUAUGAAAUUGUCAAUAUGAAAUCUUUGCUAUAGAACAAAAUGACAAAAAAAAAAAAAAUCUAAGAUCAUGGUAUGUCAGUGUCAUCUUGGAACGUUUUAUUUUCAUAUGAUCUCUCAUCUUUACAAUUUGACUUUCUGAUUAAAGUGCACUGAACGGCAGCAAGAAAGUCAGCUAGACAUCAUCUCUCUCUCUUUCUCUUUCUCUCUCUCUCUCUCUAACUCACUGCACACAAGCACUGUCUCCCUGACAUUGCAUCAGAUCUAGAACACUGUACACUCGGUCUCCACCAUCACUGCUUCAGACUGGUGGAAAUCUCUGGUAAUACUACUCUUGACCUCUCUGUCAUAUGACCAACAUGACCAUGUCUUAAACAUGACCAUCAGUGUUGAAUAUCAAGACGGUGUCAUGUUACUAUAACUGAUCACGGCAGCUCUCUCAUGACAGAAUGUUUGAUGCCAUUUCAGCUUACAAGCACGUGACAUAAGCUGUUACAGCACUUAAUAUUCUGUCAUGGCAGUUGCUGAAAUUUGUAAUAUGACAUUGGGAAACAAUGAUUAUAACAUGGUGAUAUCAGUCUUAUGACCAAGGGUUCAAGUAAAGUGGUAUGACAUCUUCUUUCUACACAACUUAGGCAAAAUGCACUUUUUUGGGCACAUACCACACUUCUUUGUUAGACUUUAAUUAUUACUAUUAUUGUUAAUUAUAAUAUUGAUAUCAUUAUUAUUAUUUUUUGUUCUUUGCUCGUUACAUUUUCACCGUUCCCAAAGUUGGAUGGUUUUGGUACUCUGCACCAUAAGAGACACUCAGCUGGUCGAUCCUGAUUUUGGUAGGUUCAUUAAAAAAAAAAAGAAGUGCUUAACUAAACCGAGUAACAAUGUUAAUUUUCUUGUCAUGUAUUGUGCAUAAAUAAAACACUGGUUAAGUGAACAUAAGCAACAGAGACUUGGAGUGUGCUUCUUUUGGUCACUGGCACAGGAACUGUCUACUUACUGUCUGUUCACAUCCUCUCUCUUCUUGGGUGAACUACUGGAGCGAGACUUAAAUGACGUAACAUAAAAUGACAUAAAAUAAAAUGACUUAAAAUUAUAUAAAAUAACUUACAUGACAUACAAAAU